CAGAAUGGUGCAUGGAUUGCUACAUUGACAUGCUCAUUACGCAUUGACAAGCUCAUGGCUGCUAAUACCCCAUAGGCUGAGGAGCAAAAGGAGGAAUUCGCUAGAGGGGAGGCUCACGUCUGAUUUAGCUAGUUAGUGAGGCAAUAGCUUACCAAGGUGAUGAUCAGUAGCUUGUCCGAGAGGAUGAUCAGCCACACUGGGACUGAGACACGGCCCAGACUCUUAUGGGAGGCAGCAAUGGGGAAUUUUUCGCAAUGGGUGAAAGCAACAUGGAGCAAUGUUGCGUGGAUGUAGAGGGCAUACGGGUCAUGAACUUCUUUUCCAGGAUAAGAAGCAAUAACGGUAACUGGGGAAUAAGCAUCGGCUAACUCUAUGCCAGCAGUCGUGGUAAUACAAAGGAUGCAAGCGUUAUCUAGAAUGAUUGGGCGUAAAGCGUCUGUAGGUGGCUUUUUAAGUCCACCGUCAAAUCCCAGGGCUCAACCCUAGAUAGGCAGUGGAAACUACCAAGCUAGAGUACGGUAGGGGCAGAGGGAAUUUCUGGUGGAGCGGUGAAAUGAGUAGAUAUCAUAAAGAACACCAACGAUGAAAGCACUCUGCUAGCCCAACACUGACACUUAGAGACGAAAGCUAGGGGAGCAAAUAGGAUUAGAUACCCCUGUAGGCCUAACCAUAAAAGAUGGAUACUAGGCGUUGUGCUUAUCGACUCGUGCAGUGCUGUAGCUAACGCGUUAAGUAUCCUGCU
rnacentral:rRNA from 1 species